UAUAAUUUUACUGAAAUAAGAGCCGGUUUACAGAAGCUCAAUUAAAUAUUUGAUUAAUGGUAAAUUUUUAAUGCGGCAUUAAAGUACCACGUGACAGACUCUACGCCAAUCAGGCGUCACUAAACGCCUCAUUAUAAACAUAAUUAACUUAAGCUCAAUUAAAAUAUUCUAUAAGCUGGCCCUAAGCAAGAUAAAAUAACUGUACAUCGAGGUGAUUGGAAGAAGAACUCGGGGAGCAUACCGCAAACAUCGUUUACGUUUGGUUUAUGGGUUAUGCGCACGUGCGAGCAGACCUAGAAAUACCGAUCGUGUUACCGUACAUACCUACUAGUUAUUUUGCUUUAUACGUAAUGUGUCUUUUUGCUAAUAAACUCAACAUGAUGAGCUGCAAACUUUGUAAAUCUGUGAUGAAAGUGAACAAUCUUGAAGAGACACUUAGUUUUCAUAAUCAUCCCCUUGAUGGAUGAUAAACCAAAUUCGAACCUAGGGACGUGGUUAAGUCGAAUGCAUAGUCGUAAACGGUUUUUAGAUUCAGAGGGGUCGGUGCCACAAAUUUCACCGUAUUCCUCCGUUCUUAUUCCACCCUCCACGCUGUACAUGCAAAUAUUUUUACUUCCAACAGAAAAACAAAAAUAUGUGAAUCCGACUAGAUGCUAAAAUUUAGUAGUGAUUUCUAAUCUUGUCAACUAGAGAAAGCAAAUGGUAUGCAUGUCGAACCAUGCAUUCAUUUAAAGCAAA